rnacentral:rRNA from 1 species
CCGGCGACCGGCGCACGGGUGAGUAACACGUAUGGAACCUGCCCGCAGCAGGGGGAUAAGCGGAAGAAAUUCCGUCUAAUACCGCGUAACAACGUUGGGAGGCAUCUCCCGAUGUUUAAAGAUUUAUCGGCUGCGGAUGGCCAUGCGGCGCAUUAGCUAGUCGGCGGGGUAACGGCCCACCGAGGCGACGAUGCGUAGGGGUUCUGAGAGGAAGGUCCCCCACACUGGUACCGAGACACGGACCAGACUCCUACGGGAGGCAGCAG